CCCAUAAUAAAUCUCUUUUUAAAAUCAAACCAGCUCAAAUACUAAAUCAUUUAUAAAGUCACUAACUCAAAAUUAAAUCAUUUCCAAAGUUAAUCCAGUUUCAUAUUCCAAAUCAUUUCCAAAGCCAAUUCCUUUACAUUAUCAAAAAUAGCUUCAAAACCAAGAAAAGCCAUUUUUCAUAAUUAUCAACUAAAUAACCUUUCAAACUAAUUUCUUUUCAGCAAUCACAAACUAC
rnacentral:lncRNA from 1 species